ACGAUGGAUACUAGGGGUUGGCAAGAAAAUUGUCAGUCCCGAAGUUAACGCGAUAAGUAUCCCACCUGGGGAGUACGACCGCAAGGUUAAAACUCAAAGGAAUUGACGGGGGCCCGCACAAGCAGUGGGGUAUGUGGUUUAAUUCGACGCAACGCGAAGAACCUUACCAGGGCUUGACAUAUACAGGAAUAUAUAAGAGAUUAUAUAGCUCUACGGAGUCUGUAUACAGGUGGUGCAUGGCUGUCGUCAG
rnacentral:rRNA from 1 species